UACGUAGGGGGCAAGCGUUGUCCGGAAUCAUUGGGCGUAAAGAGCGUGUAGGCGGCUCGGUAAGUCCGCUGUGAAAGUCCAGGGCUCAACCCUGGAAUGCCGGUGGAAACUGUCGAGCUAGAGUCCGGAAGAGGCGAGUGGAAUUCCUGGUGUAGCGGUGAAAUGCGUAGAUAUCGGAAGGAACAUCAGUGGCGAAAGCGGCUUCCUGGACCAGCACCGACGUUCAGGCACGAAAGCGUGGGGAGCAAACAGG
rnacentral:rRNA from 1 species